GGGCGUCUAGCUCAAAUGGUAGAGCGCGCGCUUAGCAUCAACAUUCUCUUCUGAGAUGAGUAAUCAACAUGCGCGAGGUACACGGUUCGAUCCCGUGGUCGUCCA